rnacentral:rRNA from 1 species
UACGGAAGGCAGCAGUGGGGAAUAUUGCACAAUGGGCGAAAGCCUGAUGCAGCUAUGCCGCGUGUAUGAAGAAGGCCUUAGGGUUGUAAAGUACUUUCAUCGGGGAGGAAAAAACAAAACUAAUAAUUUUAUUUCUUGACGUUACCCGAAAAAGAAGCACCGGCUAACUCCGUGCCAGCAGCCGCGGUAAUACGGAGGGUGCUAGCGUUAAUCAGAAUUACUGGGCGUAAAGAGCACGUAGGUGGUUUUUUUAAAGUCAGAUGUGAAAUCCCUGGGCUUAACCUAGGAACUGCAUUUUGAAACUGAAAUACUAGAGUAUCGUAGAGGGAGGUAGAAUUCUAGGUGUAGCGGUGAAAUGCGUAGAUAUCUGGAGGAAUACCUGUGGCGAAAGCGGCCUCCUAAACGAAUACUGACACUGAGGUGCGAAAGCGUGGGAAGCAAACAGGGAUUAGAUACC